UUUUGUCGCUGUCUUAUCCCCUGGCUAUGACAAGUCUUACUGGUGCCUUGAAGAAUUAGCCAAGCUCUGUGAUCUGAGAUCAUCGCUAGCUCGUCCUUUAUUACCAAUCUUUUACGAGGUAUACACACAAUUGUUGGCAUGUUGCUCUCUGUUACUUGGAACUUGGAAGGAGGGUCACCAAUGAGUAAAGUAGAGGAGAUCUAUGAUAAUCACAUCUGGAAAGAGUUGGAAAACGACACGCUGUUCCUCCCGAAGUAUAUCUCAAUGCUAUCGGUUUGUUAUUGCGUUUGGAUGUAAGAGGUGCUCUCAAAGGUUUUGAGACCGCCUCAAACUCCUUACAGCUCGUUGACUGAUCAGUUUGAUAGAUCCCGAGAGUGUUUAACAAUGAAUGAGCAAACAAAAGCUGUCACCGAGGCAUUUGUGAGGUUACACAAGGAAGGGCUUAUAUAUGAAGAGAUUGGUUUGUUCAUUGUUGCUGUUAAUUUCUCAGAAACAGCCUUGUCUGAUCGUAAGGUUGAUCACAUUGACAUUAAAAGAAGAACACCAACGAAAGUACCGGGUGUGAUACGUAAUAUGUGAUCUUUAUGUUCUAGCUUAACAGAUUGAUAUUCAAUAUUGCUAUAUGGACACAAUCUGCAAUUCUAUUAUCAUGCAUGGCUCCAUUGUGACAGUAAACAGCCCUUUUUCUAUUGGUAGGUUUGUUAUUACACAAUCAUGAAUGAGAAUAUCAGGAGUGCAUACAUCGUACAAACUAACAGCCAACUCAGAACGUGUAAGCUUGACAUAUAAACUUUGAUCCAAAGGUUGAAACUGAU